rnacentral:lncRNA from 1 species
GAUAUAGCUCAACACACAACCACUAGUAAAUCGGGUCACUUACUAUCCUUAGAUUGCAUCUGCUGACUUCAAAAUCCAAUAAUUCCUUUAUUCCAACUUGGAAUCCAACAAGCAGUAUACAAAAAAUAUAGCUACAAAAGUGCUCUCUUCAAUCGCAGUCACCAGUCCUCAAUUGGCUUCCGUAUCCAUGCGUAAUAUCAAAAAGAGUGACAAUAGCUCCCAAACUAAUAUCU